rnacentral:rRNA from 1 species
GUCUAUGGCCAGGCCACCGUGAACGUGCCCGAUCUUGUCUGAUCUUGGAAGCUAAGUGGGGUCGGAUAUGGUUAGUACUUGGAUGGGAGACCACCUGGGAAUACCAGGUGCUGUAGGUG